ACGCUUCUUUCCUCCCGAGUGCUUGCACUCAAUUGGAAAGAGGAGUGGCGGACGGGUGAGUAACACGUGGGUAACCUACCCAUCAGAGGGGGAUAACACUUGGAAACAGGUGCUAAUACCGCAUAACAGUUUAUGUCGCAUGGCAUAAGAGUGAAAGGCGCUUUCGGGUGUCGCUGAUGGAUGGACCCGCGGUGCAUUAGCUAGUUGGUGAGGUAACGGCUCACCAAGGCCACGAUGCAUAGCCGACCUGAGAGGGUGAUCGGCCACACUGGGACUGAGACACGGCCCAGACUCCUACGGGAGGCAGCAGUAGGGAAUCUUCGGCAAUGGACGAAAGUCUGACCGAGCAACGCCGCGUGAGUGAAGAAGGUUUUCGGAUCGUAAACUCUGUUGUUAGAGAAGAACAAGGACGUUAGUAACUGAACGUCCCCUGACGGUAUCUAACCAGAAAGCCACGGCUAACUACGUGCCAGCAGCCGCGGUAA
rnacentral:rRNA from 1 species